rnacentral:rRNA from 1 species
CCUACGGGUGGCAGCAGUGAGGAAUAUUGGUCAAUGGGCUGAAGCCUGAACCAGCCAAGUCGCGUGAGGGAUUAAGGCCCUGCGGGUCGUAAACCUCUUUUGCCGGGGAGCAGUGGUCCGGACGCGUCCGGGCCGGGAGAGUACCCGGAGAAAAAGCCUCGGCUAACUCCGUGCCAGCAGCCGCGGUAAUACGGAGGAUGCGAGCGUUAUCCGGAUUUAUUGGGUUUAAAGGGUGCGUAGGCGGGCAUUUAAGCCGGCGGUCAAAUGUCGGGGCUCAACCCCGGCCUGCCGUCGGAACUGGGUGCCUUGAGUGGGCGAGAAGUAUGCGGAAUGCGUGGUGUAGCGGUGAAAUGCAUAGAUAUCACGCAGAACCCCGAUUGCGAAGGCAGCAUACCGGCGCCCGACUGACGCUGAGGCACGAAAGUGCGGGUAUCGAACAGGAUUAGAUACCCUAGUAGUC